GGGUUGUGAGGUUAAGCGACUAAGCGUACACGGUGGAUGCCCUGGCAGUCAGAGGCGAUGAAGGACGUGCUAAUCUGCGAUAAGCGUCGGUAAGGUGAUAUGAACCGUUAUAACCGGCGAUUUCCGAAUGGGGAAACCCAGUGUGAUUCGUCACACUAUCAUUAACUGAAUCCAUAGGUUAAUGAGGCGAACCGGGGAACUGAAACAUCUAAGUACCCCGAGGAAAAGAAAUCAACCGAGAUUCCCCCAGUAGCGGCGAGCGAACGGGGAGCAGCCCAGAGCCUGAAUCAGUGUGUGUGUUAGUGGAAGCGUCUGGAAAGGCGCGCGAUACAGGGUGACAGCCCCGUACACAAAAAUGCACAUACUGUGAGCUCGAUGAGUAGGGCGGGACACGUGGUAUCCUGUCUGAAUAUGGGGGACCAUCCUCCAAGGCUAAAUACUCCUGACUGACCGAUAGUGAACCAGUACCGUGAGGGAAAGGCGAAAAGAACCCCGGCGAGGGGAGUGAAAAAGAACCUGAAACCGUGUACGUACAAGCAGUGGGAGCACGCUUAGGCGUGUGACUGCGUACCUUUUGUAUAAUGGGUCAGCGACUUAUAUUCUGUAGCAAGGUUAACCGAAUAGGGGAGCCGAAGGGAAACCGAGUCUUAACUGGGCGUUAAGUUGCAGGGUAUAGACCCGAAACCCGGUGAUCUAGCCAUGGGCAGGUUGAAGGUUGGGUAACACUAACUGGAGGACCGAACCGACUAAUGUUGAAAAAUUAGCGGAUGACUUGUGGCUGGGGUGAAAGGCCAAUCAAACCGGGAGAUAGCUGGUUCUCCCCGAAAGCUAUUUAGGUAGCGCCUCGUGAAUUCAUCUCCGGGGUAGAGCACUGUUUCGGCAAGGGGGUCAUCCCGACUUACCAACCCGAUGCAAACUGCGAAUACCGGAGAAUGUUAUCACGGGAGACACACGGCGGGUGCUAACGUCCGUCGUGAAGAGGGAAACAACCCAGACCGCCAGCUAAGGUCCCAAAGUCAUGGUUAAGUGGGAAACGAUGUGGGAAGGCCCAGACAGCCAGGAUGUUGGCUUAGAAGCAGCCAUCAUUUAAAGAAAGCGUAAUAGCUCACUGGUCGAGUCGGCCUGCGCGGAAGAUGUAACGGGGCUAAACCAUGCACCGAAGCUGCGGCAGCGACGCUUAUGCGUUGUUGGGUAGGGGAGCGUUCUGUAAGCCUGCGAAGGUGUGCUGUGAGGCAUGCUGGAGGUAUCAGAAGUGCGAAUGCUGACAUAAGUAACGAUAAAGCGGGUGAAAAGCCCGCUCGCCGGAAGACCAAGGGUUCCUGUCCAACGUUAAUCGGGGCAGGGUGAGUCGACCCCUAAGGCGAGGCCGAAAGGCGUAGUCGAUGGGAAACAGGUUAAUAUUCCUGUACUUGGUGUUACUGCGAAGGGGGACGGAGAAGGCUAUGUUGGCCGGGCGACGGUUGUCCCGGUUUAAGCGUGUAGGCUGGUUUUCCAGGCAAAUCCGGAAAACUAAGGCUGAGGCGUGAUGACGAGGCACUACGGUGCUGAAGCAACAAAUGCCCUGCUUCCAGGAAAAGCCUCUAAGCAUCAGGUAACAUCAAAUCGUACCCCAAACCGACACAGGUGGUCAGGUAGAGAAUACCAAGGCGCUUGAGAGAACUCGGGUGAAGGAACUAGGCAAAAUGGUGCCGUAACUUCGGGAGAAGGCACGCUGAUAUGUAGGUGAAGUCCCUCGCGGAUGGAGCUGAAAUCAGUCGAAGAUACCAGCUGGCUGCAACUGUUUAUUAAAAACACAGCACUGUGCAAACACGAAAGUGGACGUAUACGGUGUGACGCCUGCCCGGUGCCGGAAGGUUAAUUGAUGGGGUCAGCGCAAGCGAAGCUCUUGAUCGAAGCCCCGGCAAACGGCGGCCGUAACUAUAACGGUCCUAAGGUAGCGAAAUUCCUUGUCGGGUAAGUUCCGACCUGCACGAAUGGCGUAAUGAUGGCCAGGCUGUCUCCACCCGAGACUCAGUGAAAUUGAACUCGCUGUGAAGAUGCAGUGUACCCGCGGCAAGACGGAAAGACCCCGUGAACCUUUACUAUAGCUUGACACUGAACAUUGAGCCUUGAUGUGUAGGAUAGGUGGGAGGCUUUGAAGUGUGGACGCCAGUCUGCAUGGAGCCGACCUUGAAAUACCACCCUUUAAUGUUUGAUGUUCUAACGUUGACCCGUGAUCCGGGUUGCGGACAGUGUCUGGUGGGUAGUUUGACUGGGGCGGUCUCCUCCUAAAGAGUAACGGAGGAGCACGAAGGUUGGCUAAUCCUGGUCGGACAUCAGGAGGUUAGUGCAAUGGCAUAAGCCAGCUUGACUGCGAGCGUGACGGCGCGAGCAGGUGCGAAAGCAGGUCAUAGUGAUCCGGUGGUUCUGAAUGGAAGGGCCAUCGCUCAACGGAUAAAAGGUACUCCGGGGAUAACAGGCUGAUACCGCCCAAGAGUUCAUAUCGACGGCGGUGUUUGGCACCUCGAUGUCGGCUCAUCACAUCCUGGGGCUGAAGUAGGUCCCAAGGGUAUGGCUGUUCGCCAUUUAAAGUGGUACGCGAGCUGGGUUUAGAACGUCGUGAGACAGUUCGGUCCCUAUCUGCCGUGGGCGCUGGAGAACUGAGGGGGCUGCUCCUAGUACGAGAGGACCGGAGUGGACGCAUCACUGGUGUUCGGGUUGUCAUGCCAAUGGCACUGCCCGGUAGCUAAAUGCGGAAGAGAUAAGUGCUGAAAGCAUCUAAGCACGAAACUUGCCCCGAGAUGAGUUCUCCCUGACUCCUUGAGAGUCCUGAAGGAACGUUGAAGACGACGACGUUGAUAGGCCGGGUGUGUAAGCGCAGCGAUGCGUUGAGCUAACCGGUACUAAUGAACCGUGAGGCUUAACCUUACAACGCCGAAGGUGUUU
rnacentral:rRNA from 1 species